rnacentral:rRNA from 1 species
GGUCAAGUGAAGAAGCGCAUACGGUGGAUGCCUUGGCAGUCAGAGGCGAUGAAAGACGUGGUAGCCUGCGAAAAGCUUCGGGGAGUCGGCAAACAGACUGUGAUCCGGAGAUGUCUGAAUGGGGGAACCCAGCUGUCAUAAGACAGUUAUCUCAUGCUGAAUACAUAGGCAUGAGAGGCGAACCAGGGGAACUGAAACAUCUAAGUACCCUGAGGAAAAGAAAUCAACCGAGAUUCCCUUAGUAGUGGCGAGCGAACGGGGACCAGCCCUUAAGUUGGUUUGAGAUUAGCGGAACGCUCUGGAAAGUGCGGCCAUAGUGGGUGAUAGCCCUGUACGCGAAAAUCUCUUGUCAAUGAAAUCGAGUAGGACGGGGCACGAGAAACCUUGUCUGAAUAUGGGGGGACCAUCCUCCAAGGCUAAAUACUACUGACUGACCGAUAGUGAACUAGUACCGUGAGGGAAAGGCGAAAAGAACCCCGGAGAGGGGAGUGAAAUAGAUCCUGAAACCGUAUGCGUACAAGCAGUGGGAGCCCACUUUGUUGGGUGACUGCGUACCUUUUGUAUAAUGGGUCAGCGACUUAUAUUCAGUGGCGAGCUUAACCGAAUAGGGGAGGCGUAGCGAAAGCGAGUGUUAAUAGCGCGUUUAGUCGCUGGGUAUAGACCCGAAACCGGGCGAUCUAUCCAUGGGCAGGUUGAAGGUUGGGUAACACUAACUGGAGGACCGAACCGACUACCGUUGAAAAGUUAGCGGAUGACCUGUGGAUCGGAGUGAAAGGCUAAUCAAGCUCGGAGAUAGCUGGUUCUCCUCGAAAGCUAUUUAGGUAGCGCCUCAUGUAUCACUGUAGGGGGUAGAGCACUGUUUCGGCUAGGGGGUCAUCCCGACUUACCAAACCGAUGCAAACUCCGAAUACCUACAAGUGCCGAGCAUGGGAGACACACGGCGGGUGCUAACGUCCGUCGUGAAAAGGGAAACAACCCAGACCGUCAGCUAAGGUCCCAAAAUCCUGGUUAAGUGGGAAACGAUGUGGGAAGGCUUAGACAGCUAGGAGGUUGGCUUAGAAGCAGCCACCCUUUAAAGAAAGCGUAAUAGCUCACUAGUCGAGUCGGCCUGCGCGGAAGAUGUAACGGGGCUCAAACCAGGUACCGAAGCUACGGGUAUCAUCUUAGGGUGAUGCGGUAGAGGAGCGUUCUGUAAGCCUGUGAAGGUGAGUUGAGAAGCUUGCUGGAGGUAUCAGAAGUGCGAAUGCUGACAUGAGUAACGACAAUGGGUGUGAAAAACACCCACGCCGAAAGACCAAGGUUUCCUGCGCAACGUUAAUCGACGCAGGGUUAGUCGGUCCCUAAGGCGAGGCUGAAAAGCGUAGUCGAUGGAAAACAGGUUAAUAUUCCUGUACUUCUGGUUAUUGCGAUGGAGGGACGGAGAAGGCUAGGCCAGCUUGGCGUUGGUUGUCCAAGUUUAAGGUGGUAGGCUGAGAUCUUAGGUAAAUCCGGGAUCU